rnacentral:rRNA from 1 species
CUGCACGAAUGGCGUAACGAUGGCGGCGCUGUCUCCACCCGAGACUCAGUGAAAUUGAAAUCGCUGUGAAGAUGCAGUGUAUCCGCGGCUAGACGGAAAGACCCCGUGAACCUUUACUAUAGCUUUGCACUGGACUUUGAAUUUGCUUGUGUAGGAUAGGUGGGAGGCUUUGAAGCGUGGACGCCAGUUCGCGUGGAGCCAACCUUGAAAUACCACCCUGGCAACUUUGAGGUUCUAACUCAGGUCCGUUAUCCGGAUCGAGGACAGUGUAUGGUGGGUAGUUUGACUGGGGCGGUCUCCUCCUAAAGAGUAACGGAGGAGUACGAAGGUGCGCUCAGAACGGUCGGAAAUCGUUCGAAGAGUAUAAAGGCAAAAGCGCGCUUAACUGCGAGACCCACAAGUCGAGCAGGUACGAAAGUAGGUCUUAUUGAUCCGGUGGUUCUGUAUGGAAGGGCCAUCGCUCAACGGAUAAAAGGUACUCCGGGGAUAACAGGCUGAUACCGCCCAAGAGUUCAUAUCGACGGCGGUGUUUGGCACCUCGAUGUCGGCUCAUCUCAUCCUGGGGCUGUAGCCGGUCCCAAGGGUAUGGCUGUUCGCCAUUUAAAGAGGUACGCGAGCUGGGUUUAGAACGUCGUGAGACAGUUCGGUCCCUAUCUACCGUGGGCGUUGGAAAUUUGAGAGGAUCUGCUCCUAGUACGAGAGGACCAGAGUGGACGAACCUCUGGUGUACCGGUUGUGACGCCAGUCGCAUCGCCGGGUAGCUAUGUUCGGAAUAGAUAACCGCUGAAAGCAUCUAAGCGGGAAGCCUACCUCAAGAUAAGAUUUCCCCGAGACUUUAUGUCUCCUAAAGAGCCGUUGAAGACUACGACGUUGAUAGGUUGGAUGUGGAAGCAUAGUGAUAUGUGAAGCUGACCAAUACUAAUUGCUCGUGAGGCUUGA